rnacentral:rRNA from 1 species
CAAUAGCGUAUAUUAAAGUUGUUGCAGUUAAAAAGCUCGUAGUUGGAUUUCUGGUGGGAGCGAUCGGUCUGGCGCUUAGCGCGAGUACUUGCAUCGUCUCCGGCCACCCUUGGGGAGAGUCUGUCUGGCAUUAGGUUGUCGGGCAGAGGAUCCUCAUCGUUUACUGUGAAAAAAUUAGAGUGUUCAAAGCAGGCUUAUGCCGUUGAAUAUAUUAGCAUGGAAUAAUAAGAUAGGACUUUGGUACUAUUUUGUUGGUUUGCGCACCAAAGUAAUGAUUAAUAGGGACAGUUGGGGGUAUUCGUAUUCCGUUGUCAGAGGUGAAAUUCUUGGAUUUACGGAAGACGAACUACUGCGAAGGCAUGUACCAAGGAUGUUUUCAUUAA